rnacentral:tRNA from 3 species
GCGGGAGUAACUCAGUGGUAGAGUGCAACCUUGCCAAGGUUGAGGUCGAGGGUUCGAAUCCCUUCUCCCGCUCCA